GCCUGGGUGGCUCAGUGGUUGAGCAUCUGCCUUUGGCUCAGAUCAUGACCCAGGGGUCCUGGGGUCAAGUCCCACAUCAGGCU
rfam:Canis lupus familiaris chromosome 8, whole genome shotgun sequence.